rnacentral:rRNA from 1 species
CAGCACCUCAAGUGGUCAGGAUGAUUAUUGGGCCUAAAGCAUCCGUAGCUCGUUUUGUAAGUUUUCGGUUAAAUCCAUGCGCUUAACGUAUGGGCUGCCGGGAAUACUGCAUAACUAGGAAGUGGGAGAGGUAGACGGUACUCGGUAGGAAGGGGUAAAAUCCUUUGAUCUAUUGAUGACCACCUGUGGCGAAGGCGGUCUACCAGAACACGUUCGACGGUGAGGGAUGAAAGCUGGGGGAGCAAACCGGAUUAGAUACCCGAGUAGUCC